CAGAGGAAGUAAAAGUCGUAACAAGGUUUCCGUAGGUGAACCUGCGGAAGGAUCAUUAUCGAUUCUCGAGGGGUUGAGCUCAGUUGUGCUGGCUUUGUCGCAUGUGCACGCUGGGUUUGGCCUCCUCCUCACACACACCUGUGCACACCAUGUGGGCCUCUGAGGGCCUGCGUUUUCAUCACACCCCAACGCAUGUUUAUAGAAUGUAACCAUAUUAUCUGCCGCUUCGCGAGGAGUGGACGAUAAGAAAUAAUACAACUUUCAGCAACGGAUCUCUUGGCUCUCGCAUCGAUGAAGAACGCAGCGAAUUGCGAUAUGUAAUGUGAAUUGCAGAUUUUCAGUGAAUCAUCGAAUCUUUGAACGCACCUUGCGCUCCUUGGUAUUCCGAGGAGCAUGCCUGUUUGAGUGUCAUUAAAUUCUCAAUUCCCUUUGAUUUGUUUCGAAGGGGACUUGGAUUGUGGGGGCUUGCUGGCGACCUUUUGGCCGUCGGCUCCCCUGAAAUGCAUUGGCCGUGUACUGACGUGCAUGAAUGGCUUUUUGGCGUGAUAAUGAUCGCCGUGGUCUGAAGUGCUUUAAAUGUCUGGUGCAUGCCUACAGCCGUCGACUAGCGCGACAACUCUUGAACCUUUGACCUCAAAUCAGGUAGGACUACCCGCUGAACUUAAGCAUAUAUA
rnacentral:rRNA from 1 species